rnacentral:rRNA from 1 species
ACUCUGUCCCGCAUGGGACGGGGUUAAAAGCUCCGGCGGUGAAGGAUGAGCCCGCGGCCUAUCAGCUUGUUGGUGGGGUAAUGGCCUACCAAGGCGACGACGGGUAGCCGGCCUGAGAGGGCGACCGGCCACACUGGGACUGAGACACGGCCCAGACUCCUACGGGAGGCAGCAGUGGGGAAUAUUGCACAAUGGGCGAAAGCCUGAUGCAGCGACGCCGCGUGAGGGAUGACGGCCUUCGGGUUGUAAACCUCUUUCAGCAGGGAAGAAGCGAAAGUGACGGUACCUGCAGAAGAAGCGCCGGCUAACUACGUGCCAGCAGCCGCGGUAAUACGUAGGGCGCAAGCGUUGUCCGGAAUUAUUGGGCGUAAAGAGCUCGUAGGCGGCUUGUCACGUCGGAUGUGAAAGCCCGGGGCUUAACCCCGGGUCUGCAUUCGAUACGGGCUAGCUAGAGUGUGGUAGGGGAGAUCGGAAUUCCUGGUGUAGCGGUGAAAUGCGCAGAUAUCAGGAGGAACACCGGGUGGCGAAAGGCGGAUCUCUGGGGCCAUUACUGACGCUGAGGAGCGAAAG